rnacentral:pre_miRNA from 1 species
UACGGCAGCGUACCAGUAGCGAGGUAUAGAGUUCCUACGUGAUUUUAAUUUAUUGUAGGAACUUCAUACCGUGCUCUUGGACAUGCCAAAUUCA